AUAAAAGCAAUUUAAAGCAUAUGGUGAAUGCCUUGGCACUUUGGAGCCGAAGAAGGACGCGGAAGUCUGCGAUAAGCCUCGAGGAGCCGACAACGGGCGUUUAUACUCGGGGAUUUCCGAAUGGGGAAACCCUACCAUGUAAAACAUGGCAACCUCUUGCUGAAUUCAUAGGCAAGAUGGGGGGAACUCAGCGAACUGAAACAUCUUAGGUAGCUGGAGGAACAAAAAAUACAUGUCCGCCAUCCGGCGGGCGCAUUCCCCAAGUAGUGGCGAGCGAAAGGGGAUCAGCCUAAACCCUGCACCAUUCGGUGCAGGGGGUUAUAAGGAUCGACUACCACUUCGAGUGGAAAAGAGUUUCUACAAAAACAACUUCCCUAGGAGAAUGGUCUGGAAAGGCCAGCCAGAGAAAGUUACAGCCUUGUACUUGAAAGGGGUUGAACUCUUGUUGAUUUCUUGAGUACCACGAGGCACGCUAACCUUGUGGGAAUUAUCCCGGUCCAUCGGGAAAGGCUAAAUACUCCAAGUGACCGAAAGCGUACAAGUACCGUGAGGGAAAGGUGAAAAGAACCCCGGUGAGGGGAGUGAAAUAGAAUCUGAAACCAUAUGCUGACAAGCAGACGGGGCCCGCCUUAGGCGGGUGACGUCGUGCCUAUUGAAGAAUGAUCCGGCGAGUGUGUUCUGUUCAGCGUGUUUAAGGCCAAAACGGCCGUAAGCAAAGGGAAACCGAGUCUGAUAAGGGCUACGCCUCGUAUAACGAGGCGGUUGCUGACAGAACUAGACCCGAAGCCAGGUGAGCUAACCGUGGGCAGGGUGAAGUCCCCCGAAAGAGGGAUGGAGGCCCGAACUGUUGUCUGUUGCAAAAGGCUCGGAUGACCUGCGGUUAGGUGUAAUAUGCCAAUCGAACCUGGCGAUAGCUGGUUCUCCCCGAAAUAUAUGUAAGUAUAGCCUUCCCAUUCUACUAGGGGGGUAGAGUUACUGAAAGGAACGGUAGGCCCGCAAGGGUACUCCUUCCUACCAAACUCCGAAUCCUCUAGGUAUAGGUGGGAGGAGUCAGUCUGUGAGAGCUAAGUCCCAUGGUCGAAAGGGAAACAGCCCAGACUGUCGGAUAAGGUCCCUAAAUGUAAGCUUAGUGGCAAAGGAAGUUUUCUGCCAGAGACACGUAGGAGGUCGGCUUAGAAGUAGCCAUCCUUUAAAGAAAGUGUAACAACUCACUACCCGAUGGCAGAGGGCGCCGAAAAUUACUCGGGGCUUAAGCUUACUACCGAAUCCGCAGCUCUGAAGUGGCGCGCAAGCGCCCGCUUCAGGGGGUAGGGGAGCGUUGAAGCAGCAGUGAAGGUGAUCCGUAAGGAUUGCUGGAGCGGCUUCAAGUGAGAAUGCCGGAAUGAGUAGCGUUUCCGUGUGAAAAUCACGGACGCUGUAUGCCCAAGGUUUCCUCUGCAACGUUCAUCGGCGGAGGGUUAGUCGGUCCUAAGGCGAGGCCGAAAGGCGUAGCUAAUGGACAAGCCGUUAAAAUUCGGCUACUACCUUUGGAUCGUUAGUACGAUGGGGUGACAGAGUUUGAUACACCAAGCUUCGCGUGGAAUGUGGAGUCUAAACAGUAAGCUAGUCCCGAGCAGGCAAAUCCACUUGGGGCGUUUUGACGCGAACUGCGGGAAAGCUCGACGCAAGAAGGGCAAUUUGGUGAGGUUAAGUUCUCAGGAAAAGCCUCUAAGGAGAUCAAAAGGUAUCCGUACCGCAAACCGACACAGGUGGGCUGGUCGAGUAGACUAAAGCGAUCGGGAGAACGAUGGUUCAGGAAUUCGGCAAUUUAACCCCGUAACUUCGGGAAAAGGGGUCCCUCCUUCGCCGCAAGGCUUCGGAGGGCGCAGUGAAAUGGCUCAAGCGACUGUUUAACAAAAACACAGGUCUCUGCUUAAACCGUAAGGUGAAGUAUAGGGGCUGAGGCCUGCCCAGUGCCCGUAGGUUAAAUUCGCUGGUGAAAUCGCCGCAAGGCGAUAAGCUGGCGAGCUAAGCCCGGGUGAACGGCAGCAGUAACUAUAACUGUUCUAAGGUAGCGUAGUCCCUUGUCGUGUAAGUUACGACCCGCAUGAAAGGCGUCACGACUUGAGCACUGUCUUAACCAUCGGCCCGGCGAAAUUGAAGUGGCUGUGAAGAUGCGGCCUUCCCAUCAUUGGACAAAAAGACCCCGUGGAGCUUUACUGUAGCUUGGUACUGAAAUGAGCUUUGGAUUGUGUAGAAUAGGUGGGACCCUGCGCCGCAAGGUGCGGGGGUCAGUGAAAUACCACUCUUUCCGAAUUUUGUUUCUUACCCCUAUCCCUCAAUCGGGAGGGGGGACAAUGCCUGGUGGGCAGUUUGACUGGGACGGUCACCUGAUAAAGUGUAACUCAGGCGCCCAAAGGUUCCCUUGGUCCCUAUGGAAACGGGACUGUAAGCGUAAAGGUAUAAGGGAGCUUGACUGCAAGACCUACAAGUCGCGCAGGGACGAAAGUCGGGCUUAGUGAUCCUCCGCAGCGUAAUGGUGCGCUCGGAGCUUAUCGGAUAAAAGCUACCCCGGGGAUAACAGGCUGAUCGGAUCCGAGAGUCCAUAUCGACGAUCCGGUUUGGCACCUCGAUGUCGGCUCAUCACAUCCUGGGGCUGGAGAAGGUCCCAAGGGUCCGGCUGUUCGCCGGUUAAAGUGGUACGCGAGCUGGGUUCAGAACGUCGUAAGACAGUUCGGUCUCUAUCCAUGAUGGGCGUUCGAUUUUUGCGGGGAGCUGUCGAUAGUACGAGAGGACCUCGAUGGACGAACCUCUGGUGUGCCAGUUGUCCUUCCAAGGGCACUGCUGGGUAGCCACGUUCGGCAGCGAUAAGAGCUGAAAGCAUCUAAGCUCGAAGCGCCCCCCAAGAUUAAAAAUCGUCACAAGAUCCCUAGGAGACUACUAGGUUGAUAGGCGGUAGGUGUAAGCACCGUAAGGUGCGAGCCGAGCCGUACUAAUAGAUCGAAAGCUUUUAGUC
rnacentral:rRNA from 1 species